rnacentral:lncRNA from 1 species
GGGGGCCCGAGGAUUCUAGAGAGAGCACAGCCCAGGCACAGUGGGAGUCGCAGUGGCUGCCGCCGUGGCCGCGUAGCCCGAACGCAGAUCGUGGAAGCCGAAGACGCGGCAACGGUGGUCCCUCCAGAUGCCAGGGAAGGUUUGCAGGAAGCCGCUCCCGACACCCUUUGCGCCACCGGAAGCCUCGUUCCCUCAGAUUUCCCCCUCCCUCCCGGACCGACUUCCGGGUGUGGCUGCCGCCCUUCCCCCACCCACGCCGGCGGGAGCCGCCCGUUCGCGCUGCCAGCAGCUUCCGCCUGCUACGGUCCUGGCAAGCACCUCGGGAUCCCAUUCCUUCACAGGGACCCUAGCCAGUUAAAGCUGAUACAUUCCUGUGGGUCAACUAUGCAACUAACUCAGAUUUUGAGCAAACAAAGCUCUCAAGUUGGUGAUCCUCAGGAGUCUCUGCAUUAGUUGGACAGCUCUUCUGGAAUUAUCUUCUAAGUCAACUGUGGGUUGGGUAGGUGGCUCUGCUGAUUUUUCGCUGGACUUCCACAUUUGGGACGAGUUGGCUGUCAUCAGCUCUAGAAAGGGUGUGGCCGUUUUACAUUGGCUGUUUUCCUCACAUUCCUCAAGCAGGUACUGUAAUAAAGAACUGGAGAAAUACAGUCAGAUGGGAAGUAGCCCUUGCUGUCAAGGAGCUUGCCAUCUAAUGGGGGAGACAGGCAAGUAAACCAAAGACUACACAGUGCAGUAUGGUAAGUGCCAUGAUUUUGAUGUGACAGGGCACAGUGGACGACCUUCCAAAUCAAAGCAAGUAACUAGGGGUUGACAAUGGUAAGUAUCAUAGUUGAAGUAUCCUUGAACAAGGUUUCAGGAAGAAGAAGAAGGGAAUUUCAUGCAGGGAAACAGCCAAAGCUCAGUGAGUCAAAAUAUCACAGCAUUCUUGGUAAGCCCAAUUGUUUUUUCUGUUUUGCUAUUUUGGUGGAGAGAAAGGAACACAUAAAGGAAUAACAUGAGAGAAGGCUAUUUGGGGAAGUGUAGUAGUUAAGGUUCUGGCUCAAACAACAACUGCAGCUCAUAAAGUUGACUUUAGUGGAAGGAUACUGGGGUAUCUCAUGGAAUCUUGGGAACUGUUGAAUAACCAGGGAAACUCUGGGAAACUCACUGGUAGGAAUCCAUAAACUGUCCUCCUGGUGGGCUGUAAACAACUCACCCUCUAUGCAUCUCACAUCAAAAUUCCAGUUUCUUGGGAAAACAAGUCUGUUUGCCCAAUUUGGGUCAUAUUUCCACGUCCAUGUUACUCAGGCAUGAUUCAUCUGCAAGUUAUGUGUAUAGAUAUUUUGCUACUGUUCCACCCUUACGCUGUGCUGGGGAGGGAGGUGUCACUGUGAGCUGUGUCGGUGCCUUAAGAGAUAUCUGUUGUGUCUUAUUACUUGGUUGCUUUUCCCCACAUGUACAAUGACAAAAAUGCCUUCAACCUAUUUGAUCCAGCCGUUCCAGUACAACUCCUAUACUUGCCAUCUUUCCAAGCCCAAAGCUAUAGUUCCUCAUGGUCCUGCACUCCAUGGACUAAAUUGUAAGUAUAAUUACUACCAAUGUACUCUAUAAAUAACUUUUGGGGCCAGGGUGGCAAUAGUUGCUAGAGAGAAAAAAAAAAAAAAGGAAGGAGAAGAAAACAGUGAUAGUUCUUAUUUUAAAAGGAAAAAAAGAGGCAGGAGGCUCUCUUGAGGCCAGGAGUUUAAGACCAGCCUAGGCAGCAUUUCAAGACCCUGUCUCUACUAAAAAGUAAAAAAAAAAUUUAGUCAGGCAUGGUGGCAUGCACCUGUAGUCGUAGCUACUCAGGAGACUGAGGUGGGAGGAUUGAUUGAGCUCAGGAGUUUGAGGCUGCAGUGAGCAAUCAUCAUGCCAUUGCACUCCAGCCUGGGCAUCAGAGCAAGACCUUGUCUUUUAGGAAAAAAAGGCAGGGAAGAGGAAUAGGUAAUUUUUCAGUGUUCAGACAUUCCAGCAAUAUGUGUGGAGUACUCAUUCUCACUACAGUUUAUGAGGCCAUAGCUAGUAUGUAUGACUACCCAUCCAAGUUUCCCUGCUUACAGUUACUAUUCCAACUGAUUGGGGGGCUUUUCCUAAUAGAGUGAUUUAAGCCUUCAUUUUUAGACAUCUAAGCCCUUGGUGAUCAUCAGCAUAAAAUGUGACAAAUUAAACAAAAGCAAGACAGCACAUCAGAGAACAACUCUGAGGUGGAAUGAUUGGGAACCAAUGAAUAGUUGUUCAGUAAAUGGUUUAUAUUUUACAGAUGAUGAAACUGAAACACAAAAAAUUUAGAUUAACUCUUAGGUGACAAAGCCAGGAUUGAAGCUCAUGCGGUCUGGCUCCAGAACAACUCUUCUUCAUAGUUACGUUAUACUGCCCCUGCAUUGUUGGUAUUGAAAAUAACUGAUACCGUGCUUCCAGAAGAUUUUUCUAACAGUGUUUGCAAGCUAUAAAAUAGUGCUUUCACUUAGAAAAGGCUAGACGUGGUGGUUCAUGCCUGUAAUCCCAGCACUUUGAGAGGCCGAGGCACCAUGCUGGGAGAUAAGGAUCCAACAUAAGACAAACAGUGCUGAUGCUUUUGGAAAGCUCAUAUUCAAGCUGGGGAGACAAACAACAUACAAAAACUCACUCUGUCACUCAGGCUGGAGUGCAAUGGCACGAUCUCGGCUCACUGCAACCUCUGCCUCCCGAGUUCAGGAGGGCUCUGAGAGAUUUCAUUUCUGUCCUGCUGAUGAAGUCUACGUUCAUUCAGGGCCUGCUGUGGAAGACCAGCCCCAAAGUUGCUGAACAGAAGACUUUUGAGAGUCAGCAGAAAUCUUCCACUUUGCAUGGUUCUCUUGAUGUGAAAUCAUCUAUAUAGCCCCAGAAUUGGAAAAGAAAAAAAAUAAAAAAAUGGAAGGAAACUGGAUUCGACAACAGUCUAAUGCUUUCUACUUUUAUUUACUUUUUCUUUAAAAAAAGUAAAUUCUGUUUAUAGUUACAAACAUCUGAUUUCUCAAUGAAUACUAGAGGAAAAAGGGAACAAAGGAAUCCAUAAUCUUCAAUUUACUUAAGAACUUAAUUAACCAAAUGCAAUGGACUCUAUUUGGGUACUGAUUUGAACAAAUAAACUAUAAAGACAUUUUUGAGACAAUUGGGGAAAUGUGAACAAUGAUUGGGUAUUUGAUGAUAUUAAGGAGUCACUGUCAAUUUUUAGGUGUGAUCAUGGUAUUGUGGUUCUGUUCCAAAAAAUAGCCCUUAUCUUUUAGAGCUAUGUUACAGUUUGGCUCCGUAUCCCCAUCCAGGCUUCAUCUUGAAUUGUAAUUCCUGUAUGUCAAAGGAGCAACCUGGUGGGAGGUGAUUGGGUCAUGGGGAUGGUUUCACCCAUGCUGUUCUCAUGAUAGUGAGUUCUCAUGAGAUCUGAUCGUUUAAAAGUGUGACACUUCCCCUCUUGCUCUCUUGUCUCCCACCACCAUGUAAGACAUGACUUGCUUCCCCUUCUGCCAUAAUCAUAAGAAUUGUAAUUUUCCUGAGGCCUCCCAAGCCAUGUGGAACUGUGAGUCAAUUAAACCUCUUUUCUUUAUAAAUUACCCUGCAACUGUCACCAUUCUCCAGACCCCAGAAUGGUAGAUCCAGCGACAGCCCUUGCACCUUCACCUGGAAAAGCCUCAGGCACUCACACCAGCCCUAAGACUGUGUAAUUUAUAAGGAAAAGAGGUUUAAUUGACUCACAGUUUUUAUAGCACUGUGAAAAUGGACUAAUAACAGAAAACUGGUAUCAGAAUAGUGGGGUACUACUAUAAAGAUAACCUGAAAAUGUGGAAGUGACUUUGGAACUGGGUAAUGGGCAGAGGUUAGAACAGUUUGGAGGAAUCAGAAGACAGGAAGAUGUGAGAAAGUUUGGAACUUCCUACAGACUUGUCAAAUGGUUUUGACUAAAAUGCUGAUAGUGAUAUGGACAAUGAAGUGCAAGCUCAGGUGGUCUCAGAUGGAGAUGAGAAACUUAUUGGAAACUAGAGUAUCUUGUAUGUUUUAGCAAAGAGACCAGUGGCAUUUUGCCCCCACCCCAGAGAUCUGUGGAACUUUGAAGUUGAGAGAGAUGAUUUAGGGUCUCUGAGAGAAGAAAUUUUUAAGGAUUCAAGAGGUGAUCUGGCUUUUGUGAAAGUGUACAGUCAUAUGCAUUCACAAAGAGAUGAUCUGAAAUUGGAACUUAUGUUUAAAAGGGAAGCAGAGCAUAAAAGUUAAAAAAAAAUUGCAGCUUGGCCAUGUGGUAGAAAAGAAAAACCCAUUUUAUGGGGAGAAAUUCAAGCUCGCUGCAGAAAUCUUCUUAAGUAAUGAGGAGCUAAAUAUUGCCAAGACAAUGGGGAAAAUGACUCCAGGCCAUUUCAGAGAUCUUCAAGGAAGCCUCUCCCAUCACAAGCCUGGAUAUCUAGGAGGAAAAAAUGGUUUUGUGGGCCAGGCUCAGAGCCCCACUGCUCUGUGCAGCCUCAAGACGGGGUGACCUGUAUUGCUGUUGCUUCAGCUCCACCCAUGGCUAAAAGGGGUCAAGGUACAGCUCAGACCAUUGCUUCAGAGGGUGCAAGCCCCACACCUUGGCAGCUUCCAUGUGGUGUUAAGUCUGCAGGUGCACAGAAGACAAGAGUUGAGCUUUGGGAGGCUCUGCCUAGAUUUCAGAGGAUGUGUGGAAAUGCCUGGAAGUCCAAGCAGAAGUCUGCUGUGGAGGUGGAGCCCUCAUGGAGAACCUCUACUAAGGCAGUACAGAGGAGAAAUGUGAGGUUGGAGCCCCCACACAGAGUCCCCACCGGGGCACUGGGUAGUGGAGCUGUAAGAAGAGGGCCACCAUUCUCUAGACCCCAGAAUGGUAGAUCCACCAACAGCUUGCACCGUGCACUUGGAAAAGCCCCAGGCACUCAACGCCAGCCCAUGAAAACAGCCACAGGGGCUGUACCCUGCAGAACCACAGGGGUGGAGCUGCCCAGAACUUUGGGAGUCCACCCCUUGCAUCAGUGUAGCUUGGAUGUGAGACAUGGAGUCAAAGGAGAUUAUUUUGGAGCUUUAACAUUUAAUGACUGCUCCACUGGGUUUCAGAUUUGCAUGGGCCUUGCAGCCUCUUUGUUUUGGCAAAUUUUUCCCAUUUGGAAGGGGAGCAUUUACCCAAUGCCUGUACCCCCAUUGUAUCUUGGAAGUAACUAACUUGUUUUUUAUUUUAUAGGCUCAUAGAUGGAAGGCUUGUCUCAGAUAAGACUUUGGACUUGGACUUUUGGGUUAAUGCUGGAAUGAGUUAAGACUUUGGGGUUCUGUUGGGAAGGCAUGAUUGUGUUUUGAAAUGUGAGAAGGACAAGAGAUCUGGGAGGGGCCAGGGUUGGAAUGAUAUGGCUUGGCUCUGUGUCCCCACCCGAAUCUCAUCUCAAAUUGUAAUCCUCACAUGUGGAGGAAGGUACCUGGUGGGAGCUGAUUGGAUCAUGGGGGUGGUUCCCCCAAGCUGUUCUCAUGAUAGUAAGUUCAUUCUCAUGAGAUCUGAUGGUUUAAAAGUGUGGCAUUUACACACUCUUUCUCUCCUGCUGCCAUGUAAGACAUGCCUUGCUUUCCCUUAACCUUCUGCCAUGAUUGUAAGUUUCCCGAGGUGUCCCCAGCCAUGUGAAACUGUGAGUUAAUUAAAGCUCUUUUCUUUAUAAAUUACCCAAUCUCAGGUAUUUCUUUAUAGCAGUGUGAAAAUGGACUAAUGGACUAAUGGAAAAUGGACUAAUACAAGAUACUUAUUGAAUAUAGAAUAAUUAUGUCUACAUAAUUAUUUACAGAUGAAAUAAUUAUGUCUAAAAUUUGCUUCAAAUAAUAUGUGAAUAUGGGGGAUGGGUUGGGAAUGGGUUUAACA